rnacentral:rRNA from 1 species
AGAACGAACGCUGGCGGCAAGCCUAACACAUGCAAGUCGAACGGAUUUUUGUCGUAGCUUGCUAUGAUAAAAAUUAGUGGCAGACGGGUGAGUAAUGCAUAGGAAUCUACCUAGUAGUAUGGGAUAGCCACUAGAAAUGGUGGGUAAUACUGUAUAAUCCCUGCGGGGGAAAGAUUUAUCGCUAUUAGAUGAGCCUAUGUUAGAUUAGCUAGUUGGUAGGGUAAAGGCCUACCAAGGCGGUGAUCUAUAGCUGGUCUGAGAGGAUGAUCAGCCACACUGGAACUGAGAUACGGUCCAGACUCCUACGGGAGGCAGCAGUGGGGAAUAUUGGACAAUGGGCGCAAGCCUGAUCCAGCUAUGCCGCGUGAGUGAGGAAGGCCUUAGGGUUGUAAAACUCUUUCAGUGGGGAAGAUAAUGACGGUACCCACAGAAGAAGUCCCGGCAAACUCCGUGCCAGCAGCCGCGGUAAUACG